UUCUCGUCCGACCAAUUUACGUUGGCAAGAGCGACAUCAUCCGGAUGGGACGGAACGAUAUCUCUAAUAACGUGCACGACGAUCGUAGUCCAAGCGAUGUUUCGCAUCUACUCUAUUCUACUCUACUCUACUCUACUCUACUAUCAUCUAACCUACGUGCGAUUACCAUUGUGUGAACGAUCCAACGCGUAUACUACGUGGGACUCCGACUAAACCAGAGGAGAUCGGAGUAUCCGGAGAAGAUCGAGAAACGGAGUGCGAAAGUAAAAGAGAUAGUAGGAAUUUGGUUUAAAGAUUGUAUAAGAUAACAAGGGAUGGAAAUAAGUAACGUAUGCCGAAAUAAAAGUUCACGUUCUGCUCCUUUUCAUCAAGCCAAACUGACAAAAUAGAAAAAGGUCAGCCAAACGAUACCGAGAUGGCCGUCUGUUUCACUCCGAAAAAUGUACUUUUCACCGUAGGACGAUAACUUGGAACGUUUAGGUGAACGAAGACGAGAGGAGAGACGAAUGAACUCCCGUAGCUGUUCAACUCUUCAACUCUUGAAAGGAACGAAGAAACGAAAGGAGAACGUAGGAUUCUAUUCCAAAGAACGGUACGUUCGUUGAAACCUACACACAAGUUUUACGAGUAUCAGGGAUCUUCUAUGAUCAGGACUCUAAUCCAACCAAGCUCGAUCGAUCGAAAAGCGAUCAAACUCGUGAAGGGACGUCUGCGAACGUAAUUGUGAAGAACGAGAAGGAAAUACGAAAAAAGAAAACGAUAUAACGGUAGACGUUCGAACGUAUCGUAUCUACUAGCUAUACAUGAAAAACGAAAAGAUCGUAAUGGUGCGAGCAGGAGGAGGAGUAGUAGUAAUAGUAGUAGUAGGAACGACACGACAGCAAGGUAUCAAAGUGAAGUGCCCCGUGUGAAUUCUGUCGUUGUGUGCCCGUAAAUUCUUUUCACCUUCAUCCAUCGAAAAAGAAACGUAGUAGGAAAGAGAACUCUUCUUUUUCUAUCUCUCACUCUUUCUCACUCUCCCUCUCUCUCUCUCUCUUUAAACGCGUACGUUUCGAUCCUACGUGAUGGUGGUACGGUACGUAUGUACAUGCACGCGCGUGUAAAAGGGUAUCUACUUAGGUUACGACGAGAGAAAACUCAGCACGGUAAUACAGAAACGAAAAAAGAACGGGGAAUGAACUCUUAAAUAUUUCAUGACGGGCGAAAGAUGCGAGUUACAUCAUAGACCGAAGGAAGAUAGUCGCUGGUGAUGGUUGUACUACUCUCUCACGAAGGAGAAAAGCCGAUGUGCCAGUGAACGGGGGCGGUUGUGUUGGCUCGGCAGGGUGGUAAGUGCUCGCUUGGAUAUGUUGGUCGUGGGUGAUACGAGCGUGGUGCGGCAUAUUAUGCCGUUAAUACAGUGCAUAUCGGGACGUGAGCAGCUGGCAAGGGAAUCACAACCAGUCCUUCCUUCCUUCUUCCCUCCCUCCCACUCUAUCCCUCCCUCUAGUUUGCUCGUUUGCUAGCUCACUCACCCUCUUCUCUUCAUAUCACUCCCCUACCCUCCCCUUACCCUUCCCAACCCCUUUCUCUAUUCCGCCAAAGCCGCUGGUAUUCAAGCGCACACCCUACUCUCUAUUUCUAGCUUCCUCGUCCAUCCUCUUCUCCUUCCACUCUUCCUCAAACUCAUCCCUCCCCUCCCCACUCCUUUCUCUACAGUAUUCAUCUCAUUCCCCCUUUUCGACGAGUCACGUACAUACUUACACAAACCCUACUAGCUCCCUCGUCCUUAUUAAUAUAUGCUACUAUAUAUAUAUAUACAUAUAUACUUCUACCGGUACAAGUACCACUAUUUUAGGAUUACCAGGACCAAAAGUUACUCGGGCGAGAACAGAGAGAGAGAGAGAGAGAGACCCCCUUCUAUCUAGCGCUCCUUCGUUUGCUUUCCUAUCCACUGACCGCACUUAUGUCCCAACGGAUCUCAAACUUUCCGAAUACCAUCGAACUACGCAGCUUGUUCCUACUACGCUUAAGCUAUGUAUAUGAAAAGAUACAUUAACUAGGGUAAUAAAGAAGAACAAGAGAGAGAAAGAGAGAGAUAAAAAAAAAAAAGAAGAAGAAAAAUAUGUUUAGAAAUCGAGUAAUGUUGAAUCGAGCAUUAAAACGAUUAUGGGCUCUUAAUUCUCGAAUAAAACUAAUUAUCGUUAAGAUAAGCGUCAAGAUGAUACUACCGUUAGAUAACUCGUUAGAUUCGCAUAAUAACGCGUGAGCGCGUUCGUGGAAAUAUAUCGCAAAUAAUUAUUCACCGACAGUUCAGCAGAAGCAGCAACAGCCAUUCGUCGUGCGGUACUCCUCGAAUCGGUCCAAGUCACUUCUUAAUGAGGAACGAGGAAUCUCGGUACUCUCGGUAAAGACUUCGAUGGGAUAUCUACGGGGUUAGAGAAACUUUGAAAUAAGCUACGCGAUAUUAUGUUUCUUCGACAUACAACAAGAACAACAACAAGAACAGCACAACAAACCGUCAACGGGAAACCAACUUUUCCCAUUAUCCAUUAAUCUAAUUAGCGAACAAGAUUUCGUGGCAUCGGGUAUUAAGAUUCUAUGGUUCCACGAAGUUAAAUGCGCUCAUCGUAGUGUUAUCCGCUUAAUUCGAAUUCACUUAAACGCGAAUUUAUAUAUUGGAUAUGGUAAAAAAUAUGAUUACAAUUGACCCGCCUAAUUCGUACGAUAUAUCAUUCGAUAAAAGUGAAAUUCUAAUUAUUUCAACGUUCAAUCGUUUUUGUUUUUUUUGAAUGACUUUUUACAACUAUUCGAGUUAUUUUAUACCAUUUUCAUUUGGCGGAUACUUCAAAACAAAACACAAACAAACGAUUUCAAAGUAGAAAAAAAACGAGA